CUGGUAUUUUCUAUAUUACAUGGUAAAUGAGUCUAGAUUUUGUGGGGGCUAAUUGACCUCUUUAUUAGCUGCAACCUUUUGUGAAAGCUUUCUAAUCUGUGGUUUUGUCCACAUUGGUUAUUAUUUCCCUAUUCACUUAACAUCUUCUAUAAUUUUGCUGAAACCUGAUGUCUGCUGAUGGAUCCUCUCCAGAUUCUAUGGUGAGUGCCUGGGCAUCACUGGAGGAUCUCUCGUGGACAUUCCCUCACUGUGGCUUGAUCAUUGUUCCUGAGUUAUAUCGUGCUUCCUCUCUUCCACACGAUCAGGAUCUUCAAAGUCCCCCAGAGCCUCACAAAACCCAGUGUGGCCAGUCUCUGGUGAAUUCAGUGGUGGUGAUCCAUGGUUCCUGACUCUUUUUCUAAACUGCUUUCUGGAUUCUCUUUGUCCACAAUCUUUCUCAGAGACAUAUGCUUGAUCUAUAAUUGGGCCUUCAAAGAGUGAAACCUGAAUCAAGGCACCAACUUGAAUGUUAUUUCAUAGCAUGGCCUAAUGGAACAGCAAUGGUAUAGCUGGGAAAUUGCAAAAGGAGUAACAAUUUGCCAAAGAGAGUGUGAUGGAUAAGUAAGAUCGGGACCAUUUUCUUAUUUUAUUGGGCUACAAUGAGCAGAAAAGAGGAGACUAUAGUGAAGAAUCAUGUCUCCGUUUCUAUAAAACCAGCAAACAAAGGUGUAAGUAUUGUAUCAUAAGUGGAAAGAAACAAAGUUUCUAGAUAGAAUAGUUAAAAGUUAGCAAAUCUCUUUCUUCUUUUCUUAGGAUAGGAUCUUUAUUCCUUCCAUUUCUCCCCCCAAAUAUCGGGCUUUGCAUUUUAAAAUACAAUACCUAGAAAUAAUAUACCAGAAAAUUCUCUGGAGGGAAAUUUCUAUACCUGUCUUUCCUGUGUAGGAUCCUAAUUAAUAAAUACGUUUAAAUAUAUGACUAAUGAUAUACU
rnacentral:lncRNA from 1 species